AGAGAUGUGGCUCAGGAGUACAGUGCCUGCCUGGCAAGCAGGAGGCCCUGAGUAUGAUUCACAGUACCCCUC
rnacentral:tRNA from 1 species